rnacentral:tRNA from 1 species
GCCCUUGUAGCUCAGUCGGCAGAGCGCGUCCUUGGUAAGGACGAGGUCAUCGGUUCAAAUCCGAUCAAGGGCU